CCAUUGACUUUUUGUCGACUCCCAAAUUUUGACCUUUAGGUACUUUUUCGGGCAUUUUCGUGAUUUGUGCUAUAUUACGGACCCAAAAUUGCUCUUUCAAGCAUUGUUUUCGAAUAUUUUUCAUGCAUCAAAGCUCGUUAAGACUAGAUGGGAUAUCCCUACAUGGCGGGUGGGACCCACGGCGAACGGUUCAUCAAGACUUAAAAAAAAAAUAUAUACGAUUGCAUUGCAUAUACUAACGGAUGCGAUCAUACCAGCACUAAUGCACCGAAUCCCAUCAGAACUCCGCAGUUAAGCGUGCUUGGGCGACAGUAGUAACUAGGAUGGGUGACCUCCCGGGAAGUCCUCGUGUUGCAUCCCUCUUUUUUUUUUUUUUUUUUUUUUGGUUAAAACUUUAUGACUCAAUAACUUCUACACAG
rnacentral:rRNA from 1 species